rnacentral:lncRNA from 1 species
UAAUAGGUCCUUUCCUUUGAUUAACCAUAAUCAUACCCAGAAAUCUUCUUUUGAGUACUAAUAUCGCUUUACCUUUUUUUUUUUUUUUUUUUGGUAUUGUCCAGGUGUUCCUUCUACUUGUGUUUAUCCUGCAUCUUCAAGGUUUACCUUUUUCUUUUCCUUUUAUUUUUUUCUAAGAGAAGAAAAAAAAGUUUACAACUUUACUCUUUGAUAUCAUUUUCCCAUCUGAGAAAUUAAAUUUCUUGCCAUGUGCUUAAAGCUUAGAUUCUCAGUUCUUUCUAGAAAAAUUUGUAGUUAGUCCACAAAGUUCAAUUUUUCUUUUGAUGGGGAAUUUAUAAACUGAUGAAUCUGAUUCCCUUCUCCCUCUUAGUGUCUUACUUCACUCACCCAUUGCUUGUUUUGUUUUGCUUAGCUGGUCUAAGGUAGGUAAAGGAUCUAGCUUUCUACGAACUUGUGCCAAAAUUAUUAAAACCCCAUGUAGAUUUGAAGAGGGUUUUCUUGCAAAAGCAGUAGCAGCUAUAAUUAUAGCAUUCACGGUGUUUCUUAAAAGCUUAACUUAAUCAAGUGUACUUUUGGACAGUGGUUAGGAACAGUAGAUCUAUUAUCUUACACUAAUUGAAGUAAAUAUCUUGUAUUGAUUAUCUUUGUAUUAGUUCAGGGGCCUGUAUCUUCCUUACAGAUGUGAGCUGUCUUGAUGUUGAUAUUUCAUGAGUUGUUUGUCCUCUUUCUUGUCCAUUUUUCCUUUUUAUGAUUCUUGAGCUCAGGUUGACAUCUGUUUCCACAAUCUCAUGUUUUGAUUCCAUAUCUUAUAAUUUCACAUUGUGUAAUUGAUUUGUAUGUCUAUAAAAAAUUAAAGUGCUUUGAAGAGAUUGUGAGAAUACUUUUUCUUUUUAAAUUCUUGUUGACUGUCCGAUUAAAAUAUCUGAAAUUCGCUCAUUUUUUACUCGGUUCGACUAAUGCUGCGGGUUUUUGUUCUCUCUUCUAUUACAGCACUGCCGGCACAGGCACCACAACCCCAAGCACAGGCACCGGCACAGGCACAGGCACCGGCACAGGGACAGGCACAGGGACAGGGACAGGGACAGGCACAGGGACUGGGACAGGCACAGGCACAAGCACAGGGACUGGGACAGGCACAACAAGUGUGACUCCAUUUGGAGGGCUGGGUCCU